rnacentral:rRNA from 1 species
GACGUAAGGCGCGAGCGUUGUCCGGAUUUAUUGGGCGUAAAGAGCGUGUAGGCGGCCUGAAAGGUCAGCUGUGAAAACUCGAGGCUUAACCUCGAGACGUCGGUUGAAACCAUCUGGCUAGAGUCCGGAAGAGGAGUGUGGAAUUCCCGGUGUAGCGGUGAAAUGCGCAGAUAUCGGGAAGAACACCCGUGGCGAAGGCGGCACUCUGGGACGGUACUGACGCUGAGACGCGAAAGCGUGGGGAGCGAACAGG